rnacentral:rRNA from 1 species
UGGGGAAUAUUGGACAAUGGGGGGAACCCUGAUCCAGCAACGCCGCGUGAGUGAUGAAGGCCUUCGGGUCGUAAAGCUCUGUCGGAGGGAACGAAUGCUCCUGAAGUUAACAGCCUCAGGAGGUGACGGUACCCUCAAAGGAAGCACCGGCUAACUCUGUGCCAGCAGCCGCGGUAAUACAGAGGGUGCAAGCGUUGUUCGGAAUCAUUGGGCGUAAAGGGCGUGUAGGCGGCAAUUCAAGUCAUCUGUGAAAUCUCCGGGCUUAACUCGGAACGGUCAGAUGAUACUGCUUUGCUAGAGUGCAGAAGGGGCAAUCGGAAUUCUGGUGUAGCGGUGAAAUGCGUAGAUAUCAAGAGGAACACCUGAGGUGAAGACGGGUUGCUGG